GAACAAUGAAGCAAGAUGCAAGAAAUAUUUUUACUUGCUCACAAAUGUGCAGCAAGGGAGCUUAUGGCUGAUAGCUCAUUUUGCUCAUUCAUUCAACUAGAAAAACAAUACAUUUAUAGCCAAAUACAUCACCAAAUACUACCUACUGCCACUAAUCAUACUUUGAAACAAGUAAAACUUAACUUGCACACAAGCUGAUUAUGUCAAUCAGCACCUAAAAACAUCAAAACAAUACCAACUUAGUUCAUUUUCAACUAAGUAGCUUAACAAAGUAACUAAACAACCUUGCUGUUACAGCAAGCAUACGUGCUGCAGCAUGUUUACAAGCUGCAUGCACUUAACCAAAAAUAUAACAGCAGCAUGUUCGUAAUUUCUUGAUGAGACCAAGUUAAUUUGGAGCUGCGAGCUUCGAAACUUGUGGGAUCAAUAUCGCCAUAAAUCUGAAAUUGGAGUUUUAUAUUAGUGUUAAAUCGUCAAACAACAGCGUCACUCAAGAACUGGCUCAAGAAAUUG
rnacentral:lncRNA from 1 species